GACGAACGCUGGCGGCGUGCUUAACACAUGCAAGUCGAGCGGUAAGGCCCUUUCGGGGGUACACGAGCGGCGAACGGGUGAGUAACACGUGGGUGACCUGCCCUCAGCUCUGGGAUAAGCCUGGGAAACCGGGUCUAAUACUGGAUAUGACUCCAUGACGCAUGUUGUGGGGUGGAAAGCCUUGUGCGGCUGAGGAUGGGCCCGCGGCCUAUCAGCUUGUUGGUGGGGUGAGGCCUACCAAGGCGACGACGGGUAGCCGGCCUGAGAGGGCGACCGGCCACACUGGGACUGAGACACGGCCCAGACUCCUACGGGAGGCAGCAGUGGGGAAUAUUGCGCAAUGGGCGAAAGCCUGACGCAGCGACGCCGCGUGGGUGAUGAAGGCCUC
rnacentral:rRNA from 1 species